rnacentral:rRNA from 1 species
AUUGAACGCUGGCGGCAUGCCUUACACAUGCAAGUCGAACGGCAGCACGGGAGCAAUCCUGGUGGCGAGUGGCGAACGGGUGAGUAAUAUAUCGGAACGUGCCCAGUCGUGGGGGAUAACGUAGCGAAAGCUACGCUAAUACCGCAUACGAUCUAUGGAUGAAANCGGGGGAUCGCAAGACCUCGCGCGAUUGGANCGGCCGAUAUCAGAUUAGGGUAGUUGGUGAGGUAAAGGCUCACCAAGCCGACGAUCUGUAGCUGGUCUGAGAGGACGACCAGCCACACUGGGACUGAGACACGGCCCAGACUCCUACGGGAGGCAGCAGUGGGGAAUUUUGGACAAUGGGCGCAAGCCUGAUCCAGCAAUGCCGCGUGCAGGAUGAAGGCCUUCGGGUUGUAAACUGCUUUUGUACGGAACGAAACGGUGAGCUCUAAUACAGUUUGCUAAUGACGGUACCGUAAGAAUAAGCACCGGCUAACUACGUG